rnacentral:lncRNA from 1 species
AAAAAAAAUGUUUUUAUUAAAAACACUCUUUUUCAUAAUUUUAAUUUUUAAAUUAAUAAUAAUAAUAAUAAUUUUUUAUAAAAUUGAAAAAAAAGAAAACAUACUUUCCCUAUAAAUAAAAUAUAUGCGAUAAUUACUUCUACAUUCAAAAAAUUAUUUUAUAAAAUAAUUUUCGAAAAAUCAAGCAUUUCUUUUAUUUCACCAUCGUGAAAGGAUAAUUAAUCUAAAGACGUGUUUGGUUCGAAGUCCGAAUCGGAAUCGAAAUCGGAAUCAAAAUAACCUGGAAUCGGAAUGGAAUUACUCAUUACCUAAUUCUGUUUGGUUCAUCAUCUGAAUCGAAAUCGGAAUAAAUCAUUCUCAUUGUAGGUGUUUUAUUCAGGUGGAUAUAAAAAAUAUAAUCAAAUUAAUAUACUAACAUUAUCUUUAUAAUAUAUUAAUUUAAAUUCAAAUUAAAAAUUAAAUAUUAAAAAAUUACAUCAAAAUUUUCAAAUAAUGUCAAAAUUUUAAAUCUAUUUUUUAAAAAAAAAUUAAACUUUGAAGUUGAGUGGAUAAUUCAAAAUAUGAAACUAAAUUUUGAUUUAUUCAAAUUCAAAUUUAAAAUUACAAUUUAAAUUUUAAUUUGAAUCCAUAAAUUUAAUUUAAGUUUGAAAUAAAAUUUGAAUAAAACUUUAUAUAAAUUAAAAUUUAAUUUAAAUUCAAAUUCAUAAGUUAGAUUUGAAAUACUUGAUUAAAUUUUAAUUUUUAAUUUAAGUUUAAAUUAAAAUUUAAAAUUAUAUAUUUAAUUUUUAAAUUGUAACUCAUAUUUUAUUUAAAAAAGCUGAAAAAAUAAAUUUAAUUAAAACAAAUAUCCAUUCCGUCCGGAUUCAACUUUCAAUCCGACCUUCUAGGCCGAAUUGAAAAAAGGGGUGAUUGGGGAAUUCCAUUCCACUCGGGAAUCGGAAGCGGAAUGGGACUCCCGCGUACCAAAUACCCACAAACGGAUUUACCCAUUCCGAUUCCGAUUCCGAUUCCAAUGUAAAAAAGAAGCGAACCAAACAUGCCCUAAGGGUUAAUUGCAUACAUCUGAAUGUAAACAUAUUGAAUAACAAAUAUAUCCUUACAAAGUUCAAUCAUAUGUCAUAUGUCAAAUUCUAAUAUUUUCAAAUAUGUCUCUACCGUUAAAAUCCGUUAGAAAAUUUUAAUUAACCAUAUGUCAAAUACUUAACUUUGGUUAAUUUAUGAGAUAACUUGAUAUUUUUGUCCUUCUUAUAUUAUACUGUUGUACCUUUUUGAGUGACAUAUUUGUGGUGGCAAAAUUAUCAUUUGAUUUAAAAUAUAAAACAGUAUUAUAAUGAUAACAAAACAGAGAAAUAUAUAUAAAAAUAUUAAAAUUUUUUUAAAAAUAAUAUAUAAAAAUUGAAUUUUAUAGAAAAAUAUUUCUUAUUCUGACAUAAUGCAUUUAACCUUUUUUUUAUUUUUUAUUAUCUAUUAACUUAUAUGAAUCCACGAUGUUUUUUGUCAUGUGGCAAGUUGUUCUUCACCCUCACCAUUAUUUAACCCUUUCUAUUCCCUUCAUCAAACUUUUAUAAUUAAUACAUUUAAUUAAUACAUCUAAACGUUAUCAUUACCAAACUUUCAAUAACAAGUUGUCCUUCACGCAUUUGACCUUUUCCUUUUCCUUUAUAAAAUUUUCAAUUAAUAUAUGUAAUUAAUACAUCUAAACAUUUUCAGUAGCAAACUUUUCCUCCAACAGAUUUUUCAUCUCCAGUUAAUUCACUAAUUCUCUCUCCUCAUCUUUUUUCAUACACCGUCGCCUUCCUCCCUCCCUCCCUCCCUCCCUCCUUCUCUAGCUAAUACGCGCCCAUAUCCCCCCUCUGCUGCGGCUGAAGGGAUCGACGUCAUUUUCACUAUCAUCAUUACCGGAGAAGGAGUCGUCGAUUCUAUCUCUGCUACUAAUAGCAAGUGACCUUUUGUGACUGUGGUA